rnacentral:misc_RNA from 1 species
UACAGAGGGCGCGAGCGUUGUCCGGAAUCACUGGGCGUAAAGGGCGCGUAGGUGGCGGUAUAAGGCUGUGGUGAAAGCCUGGGGCUCAACCCCAGGUCGGCCGUGGCAACUGUAUCGCUAGGGCACCGUAGAGGCAGAUGGAAUUCCGGGUGUAGCGGUGGAAUGCGUAGAGAUCCGGAAGAACACCAGUGGCGAAGGCGGUCUGCUGGGCGGUGAGCGCGCAAGCGCUCAAUAGCCGACACUGAGGCGCGACAGCGUG